CCAGUAGCGGCGAGCGAACGGGGAGGAGCCCAGAGCCUGAAUCAGUGUGUGUGUUAGUGGAAGCGUCUGGAAAGGCGCGCGAUACAGGGUGACAGCCCCGUACACAAAAAUGCACAUAUUGUGAGCUCGAUGAGUAGGGCGGGACACGUGGUAUCCUGUCUGAAUAUGGGGGGACCAUCCUCCAAGGCUAAAUACUCCUGACUGACCGAUAGUGAACCAGUACCGUGAGGGAAAGGCGAAAAGAACCCCGGCGAGGGGAGUGAAAAAGAACCUGAAACCGUGUACGUACAAGCAGUGGGAGCCUCUUUUAUGGGGUGACUGCGUACCUUUUGUAUAAUGGGUCAGC
rnacentral:rRNA from 1 species